GAAAUGCGAUAAGUAAUGUGAAUUGCAGAAUUCAGUGAAUCAUCGAAUCUUUGAACGCACCUUGCGCUCCUUGGUAUUCCUUGGAGCAUGCCUGUUUGAGUAUCAUGAAAUCUUCAAAGUAAAUCUUUUGUUAACUCAAUUGGUUUCUACUUUGGUAUUGGAGGUCUUUGCAGCUCCACACCUGCUCCUCUUUGUUCAUUAGCUGGAUCUCAGUGUUAUGCUUGGUUCCACUCGGCGUGAUAAGUUAUCUAUCGCUGAGGACACUGUGAAAGGUGGCCAAGGUAAAUGCAGAUGAACCGCUUCUAAUAGUCCAUUGACUUGGACAAUACUUUUAUGAUCUGAUCUCAAAUCAGGUAGGACUACCCGCUGAACUUAAGC
rnacentral:misc_RNA from 1 species